rnacentral:rRNA from 1 species
UACGGGGGGGGCAAGCGUUGUUCGGAGUUACUGGGCGUAAAGGGCGCGUAGGCGGCCAACUAAGUCAGACGUGAAAUCCCUCAGCUUAACUGGGGAACUGCGUCUGAUACUGGAUGGCUUGAGUUUGGGAGAGGGAUGCGGAAUUCCAGGUGUAGCGGUGAAAUGCGUAGAUAUCUGGAGGAACACCGGUGGCGAAGGCGGCAUCCUGGACCAACACUGACACUGAUGAGCGAAAGCCAGGGGAGCAAACGGG